rnacentral:lncRNA from 1 species
GACGUUUCUGCAUUAUAAUAUAUGUUAUGUGUGUUUUUUCCAAGAGUGUCACAAGUUAGUUGUGGUGAGCCAUUGUGAUGAAAACAUCUGUUUCGUUUAGUGCAACAGUGUAUUAUUUCUUUACAAAACGGUAUUGCACACAAGGUAAGAUCAUUUUUCAUUCUCAACUUUGUAUCAAGAAAGUACUAUUUGGUUCAAUGUCAGUAUUGUAGGGGAAACUGGAGAUGAUAUCCUUUUAUGGUUUACUUUGUUUUAUGACGUUCUUGUACAGUAAGUAAGAGACGUCGAUUGUACUAUUUUUGCUUAUGACAUUAUUGCCAAUAAUUUUUUUUUCUCAGACAAAGUGGUUUUGUAUCAAUUUGUUUCAUGAUACGCUUGCAAAGAAUAGUCGGCCUUUAUUGGGAAAAUGUACAGUUUCAUAUUGGAAUGUGUCAUUAUUGUCACAGAUUAAUCAUAAUGAUUUCUCGAGGAAAAAUGCUGAUAGAGUUAGCAUUAAAUACCGAUAAAGAGUCCCAAAAUGGUUUAUGUAAGAAUUCAUCCGACAGAGGAGGAGAAUCCGAAGUUUAAAGGAAACUUGUUUUCACUGAUACCUCAGUUGAUGAUACUCUUCAGCCAGCAGCAAUCAAGCAAAAAACCGAUAAGGGGGAAACAUUUUUAGUUGCGAAGAAUGACUCAACUAAUGUUGUAGAAUCCUCAAAAGCGGGUACGUUUUUCAGUGAAAAACAGGAGCAACAUGAAUAGAGUAUGAGGACAAACAAAAAUGAUUGUAUUCCAACCUGCUUGUCAAGUUCCUGACGUAUCCAAUUCCAUACCUGGUAUUGUAUUUUCCUUUAUUGCAAUUCAUCUGAAGAACGGUCGAACAAAGCUAGCAAGAACAUUAAUGCAAGGUCAACUACCGAGGAAAAAGUCGAUACGAGUAUAUUGGAUGUAUGUGAUACGGAGAACCAAGCCACUGAUGGAAAAACUCCUGAAAUUAUAGGAUUUCAACGUUCUGGAUCCAAGUCUGACAAAUCAAGCUCCUCAUCCUCUUCAUCGAACUCAAGCAGUAGCAGCAGUGAUUCAAGGAAUAAAAGCGAGUCUGAAGUUUUUGAUGAUUCUUAUGCAGACAAAGACUGGAACCCUUCAUCUGACGAAGAGAGCAGUGAAGAUGAACUCCAGAAAAAUAUUGACCAUCGUGUUCUCAUGACCCAAACACUUUCAAGCAGUAAUACUUGUGAAGUUGGUGUUGCUGUGACUGUCAGUACUCCAGAUGCCACGCAUUCAGCACCACCAUCCAGCAAUGUAAGCCAAACUCGUGAUUCACUUUCAAGUACCCCUGUCUCAAACAGCAAUGCUGGUCCAAAUUUUCCCCUACAAUCUGGUGCUAGUACCCCUGGUAUCAGUAGUACCAGUAGUGCCGAAAUCUCCUUUGCUUCUACCAUUGGUAUUCUGAGCCCAGUUAAAAAAGGCAAACGAAGAAGAAAUGAAUCCAGCUGGAAGAGAAACAUUUUGAAAGCAGCUAGAAAUUAUGGGAAAACGUACGAAAGUCAUUCAAAAAAACCUGAAAAACGUGUGAAAAAGGCAAGAGAAAUUGAACCUCCAUGUAAAGAUAAAUGCCGAUUAAAGUGCUCUGAAAAAAUAACUGAAGAUGAGAGAAAGAGUGUUUUUGAUGCAUAUUGAAACCUGGGAGAUAUUGCCAAGCAGAGGGAGUUCAUUCAUAACUGUACAACAGAAAUCAAACCAAAAUAUCGUUACGUGCGCGAAGCUGGGCAGAGGCCACGAAGAAAUCAUAAUGCUGCGUUCUUUUUCAAUCUUGGCGACAGACGCAUUCGUGUUAAGUUAUUUUUCAGAAAUACCUAGAUAUCAAUGACCGCCCUAUUCGCACUGUGUUUGAGAAGAAAGAUAAACUGGCUGGUGCCGUGAUGGCCGAAGAUAAAAGAGGAAAGCACGGCAAUCAGCUCAAGAUGAACGAAGCUGUCAGGAAUAGAAUUAUAGAUCAUAUCAACAGAAUUCCCAAAAUUGAGACAUUAUACCUGCAAAAAUACUACGAAACACUACAUUGAAGGGAGCAAAACCAUAACUUAUUUACAAUGAUUACGUGAACGACUGCAAAAGAGAUAAUGUUACCUUCAGUAAUUUCAAUUACUUCUAUAACAUUUUCACUAAUGACUUCAAUUUAAGUUAUUUCCAGCCUAGAAAAGAUCAGUGCGAAACAUGUGUUGGUUAAGAAUGCCUCAGAGACAGAUAAACAGAACUUGAAGGCAAGUUAUGAUCAGCAUUUGGUUGAAAAAGAGCUCUCAAGAAAAGAGAAGUAGAAUGAUAAACAAACGCUAGCGGAUAACGCCUUAUUAGCAGUAUACGAUUUACAAGUAGUUAUUCCAUUGCCAAAGGGCGACUGCUCAGCUUUUUACUAUUCAUCUAAAUUGAAUGUCCUAAAUUUUACAAUUACCGAUUUGAAAAAAAAAAAUACCGAAUGUUAUGUUUGGGAUGAAUCUAACCGCCACCGUGGAUCGAAUGAACUUGGAUCAUGUAUUUUGAAAUAUAUUGAGAAACAUAUUGGAACAUACAAGGAUAUUACUUUCUAUUCCGAUAAUUGUAGCGGACAGCAGAAGAAUCAAUUCAUGUUAGCUGCAUAUACCUUUGCUCGUCGUAAAUACGGCCUUAACUCCAUCACUCAUAAAUUUCUAAUCAAAGGCCAUACCCAAAUGAAGGAGAUUCCGUUCACUCUUUGAUUGAAAGAAAAAUGAAACAAGCUCUUAAAAGUGGUCCAAUUUAUACGCCAGAAGGUCUCGUUUCACUGAUCAGAACAGUAAAAAGAACGGGUGAACAAUUUUCUGUUAACGAACUUUCCUAUGAAGACUUCUUCGAUUUGAAACUUCUAGCCUCGGAUAUCGGACCUCUGCGUAUCUUAAAAAAUACACAAAAGCCACCAGUCAAAUUUAAAGAGAU